GACGAACGCUAGCGGCGUGCCUAAUACAUGCAAGUCGAGCGAUGAAGGGUGGUUCUCGCUCCAGUUUGAAGCGACGCGAACACGGGAGUAACGCGCGUAGACUACGCCUUUGAGCGGGGGGGAACAUUCGGGGAAGAACGCUAAAACCGCAUAAUAACUUUAUAAAUAAGUUUUAAGGUUGAAAGAUGCAAUUGCAUCACUCAAAGAGGAUCCCGCGGUGUAUUAGCUAGUUGGUGAGGUAAAGGCUCACCACGGCGAUGAUACAUAGCAGAACUGAGAGGGAGAGCGGCCACAGUGGGACUGGGACACGGCCCAGAGCCCUACGGGAGGCAGAAGCAGCGAUACUUCGGAAAUGGCAGAAAGUGUGACCGUGCAACGCCGCGUGAGUGAAGAAGGUGAUCGGACCGUAGAACUCUGUCGGUAGAGAAGAACGUUGGUGACAGUGGAAAGCUCUUCAAGUGACGGUACCUACCCAGUAAGGGACGGCUAACUACGUG
rnacentral:rRNA from 1 species